GACGAACGCUGGCGGCGUGCUUAACACAUGCAAGUCGAACGGAAAGGCCCUGCUUGCAGGGUGCUCGAGUGGCGAACGGGUGAGUAACACGUGGGUGAUCUGCCCCUUACUUUGGGGUAAGCCUGGGAAACUGGGUCUAUUACUGGAUAGGACCAUGCAGUAGGGGGUGUGGUGGAAAGAUUAGUUUCGGUUAGGGAUGAGCUCGCGGCCUAUCAGCAUGUUGGUGGGGUAAUGGCCUACCAAGGCGUCGACGGGUAGCCGGCCUGAGAGGGUGGUCGGCCACAUUGGGACUGCGAUACGGCCCAGACUCCUGCGGGAGGCAGCAGUGGGGCAUAUUGCACAAUGGGCGCAAGCCUGAUGCAGCGACGCCGCGUGGGGGUUGACGGCCUUCGGGUUGUAAACUCCUUUCAGCCAUGACGAAGCCCUUGUGGUGACGGUAGCGGUAGAAGAAGCACCGGCUAACUACGUG
rnacentral:rRNA from 1 species